rnacentral:lncRNA from 1 species
CCGUACAUUGCUAGAACUAUAUUUUUAUGGAGAUUUCGUUUGUAGUUAUAACAAUGGUAAAGCAAAGCUAAUAUUAGAACUUUUAUAGCAAACAAGAUUGAUCUUUAGGGUGGUUUAGAUUUGUUUUGAGAUGAGGUUUUUUGUUGAAGUUUAAUGGGAAGAGACGCUAAGGAAAUUGUUGCGCGGAAGCGUGUGAAAGAGUAAAAUUAUUGUACUGAAAAAUCACACUAAGUUCAAUUCCCAGGAAAGAGAGGUGGAUCACGAGGAUCGCUUACAUACCAGAUCUUUCCUAGCCAGAAUAUCCCUCUAUCGUAAUUUAAUAGCACAAUAAAUCACUACAAUGACACUUACAAAAUAUGCAGAAUAAACAAUAAAGAACACUAGAAUUUUAACGAGGUUCAACAAAUUUUGCCUACGUCCUCGGGCACUACCAAAUAUAUUUCACUCCAAAAAUACAAGUGAAAGUUUACAAAUAGGGAGAGAGAACAAUUGCCUUAAGUAGAGAAUGGCAAGUGUGGGAUGAAGAAAGUAAGAAAUGGUUAGGCCUAUUUAUAGUUGAGGUUUAAGGAUCAACUUGCAAUGUCCCUAUACAAUUAGGGACCAAAAUUGCAAUUAUCCCAUGCCAACUUUUAACCCAACUUGCCAACCAAUUUUACUUUCUACUUUCGGUGCCCACCCUUUUUGACUUUUCAAACAAUGGGUGGGUUCCAAUAAUCUCCACCUUGAAGAUUUGAUUAGGAUAAUCUUAUCUUCACACAAUUCUUUCUGCCUUUGACAACAAUACUUGAUAGUGCCUUCUUCAACUGUUAAACUUGCAGGAUAUUAAUCAAGUUCAAACAAUGUUCGAACUUGGUUGCUGUUACCACCUUGGUCAUCAUAUCUGCGGGAUUAUCUGCAGUCUUGAUCUUCUGAAGACAAAUUUUCCCCUCUUCAAUAAUUUCCCGCACAAAAUGGAAUCGUACGUCGAUAUGUUUUGUACGUGCAUGAUAGACUUGAUUCUUUGCUAAAUGAAUAGCACUUUGACUAUCACAAUAUACGUUAAUAUGCUCCUGAACCAACCCCAAGGUUUUAGCCAUACCUUGUAACCAAAUAGCCUCCUUUACAGCCUCUAUUACAGCCAUGUACUCGGCUUCUGUGGUUGACAAUGCAACUGUAGACUGUAGUGUAGACUUCCAACUUAUUGGUCCUCCAGCAAGUGUAAACACAUAACCGGUGGUUGAUCUUCGCUUGUCCAAAUCACCGGCAUAGUCAGAAUCAACGUACCCAAUAACACCUUUACCAAGUGUAUUAUCCUGCUUGAACAGUAAUCCAACAUCCACGGUCUUCUGAAUAUACCGUAGAAUCCAUUUCACAGCUUGCCAAUGUCCUUUUCCAGGAUUAUGCAUAUACCUGCUCACUAUACUAACUGCCUGUGAAAUGUCGGGUCUUGUACACACCAUUGCAUACAUCAAGCUACCCACUGCAUUAGAAUACGGAACUUGCAACAUGUAUUCUCGUUCCGUAUUCGUCGAAGGAGAUAGUUGUGCAGAAAGCUUGAAAUGAGAAGCCAACGGGGUACUUACAGGUUUUGUCUGCUCGUUCAUGCCAAACUGCUGUAGUACCUUUUUCAAAUACUGCUUCUGAGAUAAGCUAACUCUAUCAUGAGCUCUAUCUCUCCAUAUUUCCAUGCCGAGAAUCUUUUUAGCUUCUCCUAGAUCUUUCAUCUCAAACUCGAGAUUGAGUUGAGUCUUCAAUCUUUCAAUCUCAACUUUGCUCUUAGAUGCUAUUAGCAUAUCAUCAACAUAUAAGAGCAAGUAUAUGAAAGUUCCUUGUUGUAGCUUCUGAAAAUACACGCAAUGAUCAAAUUUACUUCUUGUGUACCUUUGCCCUUUCAUGAACUGAUCAAAUCGCUUGUACCACUGCCUCGGAGAUUGCUUCAAUCCAUAAAGCGACUUUGUCAGUUUGCAAACCUAAUUUUCUUUUCCAGUAACCUUGAAUCCAUCUGGCUGAGUCAUAUAGAUUUCCUCUUCCAAAUCACCGUGUAAAAACGCGGUCUUCACAUCAAGCUGAACUAGUUCAAGAUCAUAUUGCACAACCAAGGCUAGCAAAAUCCGAAUAGACGAAUGCUUCACAACUGGAGAAAACACUUCAUUGUAGUCUAUUCCUUCUUUCUGAGCGUAACCCUUUGCUACUAAUCUAGCCUUGUAUCGAAUUUCAUUUUUAUCAGGAAAUCCUUCCUUCUUUGCAUAUACCCAUUUGCAUCCAAUUGCCUUCUUUCCCUUGGGUAGUGUCACCAACUCCCAGGUCUUAUUUUUAUGAAGAGACUGCAUUUCUUCAUUCAUUGCUUGCUUCCACUUUACACCAUCAGGGUUACUUAUUACUUCUGUGUAAGUAGAAGGAACAUCAUCAUCUGUAAUUGGAAGUGCAUAGGCCACUAUAUCAUCAAAGCGAGCAGGCUUACGAAUCUCUCUUCUUGGCCUUCUAUAUGCAAUUGAAUCUUGUUGCUGUAGAGAUUCUUGGGUAGGAACCUCUUCAUCAUUUGUCCCUUCAAUAUUAGCUGGAUCAUCGUUAACCUUUUCAAGCUCCACCUGCUGCAAAGUACUACUGGUUUUGUCAUCCUUUUGUGAAUCCUUGUACUUCAACAUGGUUGAUUCAUCAAAAGUCACAUCUCUACUGAAAACAAUCUUCCUUGUAUCAGGACACCAGAGACGAUAUCCUUUUACUCCAUCAGUUAUACCCAAGAAUAAUGCUUUCUUUGCUCUUGGGUCUAACUUAGAUUCUUUUACAUGAUAAUAUGCAGUGGAACCAAAUACAUGCAAAGAAUCAUAAUCAGUAGCAGAUUUACCAGUCCACAUCUCCAUAGGAGUUUUUCCAUUUAUUGCAGCUGAUGGCAAACGGUUAAUUAGAUGGCACGCAUAUGUAACUGCCUCAGCCCAAAAUUCUUUGCCCAAUCCAGCAUUGGACAACAUACAUCGAACUUUCUCCAGUAUAGUUCGAUUCAUUCGUUCUGCCACCCCAUUUUGCUGUGGUGUAUCCCGAACAGUGAAGUGUCGCACAAUGCCCUCAUCUUGGCAUACUUGUAGAAAUGGAUCGUUUUUGUACUCAGUACCAUUAUCUGAUCGAAGUCGUUUGACCUUUCGACCAGUAUGAGUCUCCACCAUCUUCUUCCAUUUCAGAAAUGCAUCCAAAACUUCACUUUUUCUUUUCAUUAGAUACACCCAUACUUUUCUUGAAUAAUCAUCAACAAAAGUAACAAAAUAGUGCAUACCUCCCAAAGAAGCUACUUUGGUAGGUCCCCACACAUCACUGUGAACGUAGUCCAGAAUUCUUUUCGUAUUGUGAAUUGCUGGACCAAAUUUUACCCUCUUCUGCUUGCCCAGAACACAAUGUUCACAGAAUUCCAUUUUGCAAGAAUUUGCACCUUUCAAUAAGCCUUGCUUCACCAAUGUCUGCAAAGCUUUUUCACCAGCAUGUCCCAAUCGCAUAUGCCAUAAUCUGGUAGCCUCUGAAUCUACAUCUUUUGUAGAAACUGUUGAUGUUGAUCCAAUAACUGUACUUCCAUUUAAAAAAUACAAGUUAUUUCUUCUUGUGCCUUUCAUCACCGUUAGUUGCCCAGCUACUACUUUUAGUAAUCCAUCUCUCAAAGUGAUUGUGAGCCCUUUAGAUUCUAGGGCACCUAAUGAGAUGAGAUUUUUCUUCAGGCUAGGUACGUAGCGAACAUCUGUCAAGACUUGGAUUGAGCCGUCGUGAUUCUUCAAUUGGACUGUACCCACUCCCAUUGUCUUACAAGCACUAUCAUUGCCCAUAAGAACAAUUCCACCUUCUAGCUCUUUAAGACUAGAAAACCAGUCCUUAUUAGGACACAUAUGGUAAGUACAUCCUGAAUCCAAAAUCCACUCAUCCGUUUGACAUGCCAUUGCCAUGCCAACCAAGCUAAAGUCUGACUCCUCAUCAUGCUCCGCUACACAUGCAUUAGAAAUAGCCUUGCCCUUUUGUAGCUUAGGACAAUUCUUUUUCCAAUGCCCUUUUUCACGGCAAAAGGCACAUUCAUCUUUGGCGGGUCUCCCUUUGGACUUUCCCCUUCUACCAGAUUUGCUGCUGUGUGAACGACCUCUUACUGUUAAGACUUCUGCGGUUGUAUCUCUGUGAUCUCUUUUAUCUUUCUUUCGAGUCUCAGAUCUAUACAACGCACUACAGACUGCAUCAAAUGUGAUCGUGUCCUUCCCAUGAAGCAAUGUGGUGGUAAGAUGAUCAUAUUCAUCAGGAAGGGAAUUCAACAACAAUAAUGCCUUGUCUUCAUCUUCAAAUUUCUCAUCCAAAUUUAGCAAGUCUGCUAAAAUUUUAUUGAAUGAGUUCACAUGGUCAUUCAUCGACAUACCGGGUGCAUACGUGAAUCGAUAAAGUUUUUUUUUCAUAUAAAGCCUAUUUUUAAGACUUUUCGUUAGAAACUUUUCUUCCAGUGUAUCCCAUAACUUCUUCGCUAAUGUCUCCCUCAUGACAGAGUACUUCUGCUCUUUGGCCAAACAUAGGCGGAUUGUACCACACGCCUGUCUAUUGAUCUUGGCCCACUCCUUGUCAUCCAUCUUGUCAGGUUUUUCUUCAAGGGCUAUAUCUAGCUCUUGCUGACAUAAGACAUCCAGGAUCUCACAUUGCCACAUACCAAAAUUAUUGGUACCGUCAAAUUUCUCUACUUCAAAUUUUGCAUUUGUCACAGUAGUCCUUGCUGAUGACGAUGCUGCUGCCAUUUUUCUCCUCAAUCCCAACUACUGUAUACGUGAACAGUACCGUAUACGUGAAUAGUGUCGUAUAUGUGAAUAGUGCCGUAUACAUGAAUAGUGUCGUACACGUGAAUAGUACCGUAAACGGUCGUAUUCCCCAAGUACGAACUUGGCUCUGGUACCAAUUGUUGCGCGAAAGCGUGUGAAAGAGUAAAAUUAUUGUACUGAAAAAUCACACUAAGUUCAAUUCCCAGGAAAGAGAGGUGGAUCACGAGGAUCGCUUACAUACCAGAUCUUUCCUAGCCAGAAUAUCCCUCUAUCGUAAUUUAAUAGCACAAUAAAUCACUACAAUGACACUUGCAAAAUAUGCUGAAUAAACAAUAAAGAACACUAGAAUUUUAACGAGGUUCAGCAAAUUUUGCCUACGUCCUCGGGCACUACCAAAUAUAUUUCACUCCAAAAAUAUAAGUGAAAGUUUACAAAUAGGGAGAGAGAACAAUUGCCUUAAGUAGAGAAUGGCAAGUGUGGGAUGAAGAAAGUAAGAAAUGGUUAGGCCUAUUUAUAGUUGAGGUUUAAGGAUCAACUUGCAAUGUCCCUAUACAAUUAGGGACCAAAAUUGCAAUUAUCCCAUGCCAACUUUUAACCCAACUUGCCAACCAAUUUUACUUUCUACUUUCGGUGCCCACCCUUUUUGACUUUUCAAACAAUGGGUGGGUUCCAAUAGAAAUGAAGUGAAAAAGGUUGGACGGUGGUGGUGAGAGCGGUGGUUGGUCGAAACAAAAGAGGAGGAGCUUGAAAUUAGCUAACCAAGAGAGAAAGAAGGCGGUGAUGCCAACAAGAUGAACGGAGGAGACGGUGAGAGGUAGGUAAAGGAAGAAGAUGAUGGUUGGGGUUAAAGAAAAAGGCUUGAAAAUGCCUUUGGGGAGCUUUGAUGAUAUGUAGAAACAAUAACAAUGGGAAAUGAUAGCUAAAAUCCAUACCUUGAUGAAAUUGUGAAGUUCGUUCUCCAUAGGUUGAUCUUUGGAUCUUUGAUGAAGAUGACGUUUAAUGUUUAAUAUUGAUAAGGAUUGUAGUACUUGACUUUACUUAGAUAAGUGCAUAUUAAUUAAUGUGUAUUUAAUUGAACGUUGUAGAUAGGUGUAUUGUCUCCAAUCAUAUCAUAAUGAAUUUAAGCCUAGAAUUUAUUACCUCUGAAUUUUUGUUGGAUAUGAUAAAUAUAAUUUUGGUUGUGUUUGAUUAAAAUAUUGAUAUAAUUUUAUAAUUAUUGAGUGGUUUUUUUUAUUUUAAAAUAUUACAUUAGUGAAUUUAAUAGCGUUAACGAUUAGAUUUGAAUUUUUAAAUUCGAAAAUUAAAGUAUUACAUUUCCAAAAGUAAAAAUAUAAAAAUUAAAUUUCAAAUGCACGAAGACUACAAAGAUAUAUAUAGAGUAUAUUUUAAUAUUCAAUUAUUUAUUUUAUAAUUUAGCUUAAAAAAUAAUUAACCUAAUGCGAAGCGUGGCAACAACUAUACUAGCUAUAUUUCAAAGUAGAAAAUGAGAGAAAGCCCAAUUUAUCCUUUUCAUAACAGUUACCUUGUUGUUAUAAUUUUCAAGUUGAUUACGCGCACAUCGCACCAAUUGUUGAUACAAAAUGUUGGCUUAGUGUACAUGGUGAUUCAUAUACAUCACUAUGGAGAGCCGUUGAUGGUGGUUUUGAGAAUUUUAAUCUCUUUCUUUUUGAUUUGAUAGGGCCACAAUUUGGUUUGGUGGUGAGAGAAUAUCUUAAAUACUCAAAUGGCAUGCAAAUUUAUUAUUAAUUGUGAAUUUAGUCUCUUUAUUUUAAUGUAGUCUAUUUUAAUUUUUGUAUUUUUUGAAUUAGUUAAUUUUAAGUCAUGUAUUUUAUAAUUUCUGUUUUAGACAUAAAAAUUUAUAUUCGAUGAAUUCGACACCCAUCGCAGGUGUCUUUGGAUGUAAUGAAACAAGUUAGUAUAGUCGAGUCAAUAUGGCUUGAAGUGGUGGAACCAGGAUGUUAACCUUAAUAGGGCCAAAACUAAAAUUUAAUGUGUAUUUAAUUGAACGUUGUCAAUUUCAGUUGGUUAUGAAAAUAUAAUUAAAUGUAAUUUAAAUUAUGUUCGUAUAUUUAUGUGGCUUUAAGUCAUUACCUUUUUAAUUAUAUAUAUUUUUAGUUCGUUAUUUUAAUUAUAACUUUUAAAAUUUUUAUUAUUUGUGAUUAUAUUUGUAAUUAUAAUUGUAUUUGUAAUUUUUUUAUAUUUUUUUAAAAUUGAAUAAUUUAUUUCUCGGUUAUAUUUAUUUAAAAAUUAACAUAAAAAUACACGAUAACUUAAAUAAAGAAAGUUAAUUUGAUAUAAAAAUUGUUCAAGUUCAAACUUAAAGAUCAUCUGAAAUUUGAAAAAAUUUAGAUAAACAUAAAUUAAAAAAAUUGGUUUAGGCAAAAAAAAAAUGAAUAAUUUGCAAAUACAGAUUGCAAAUACGUAUAAUUAUCAAAUAUUAAAUAAUAAAUAUUAAAUAAAAUAAUUAUAUUUCAAAAAUAUAAAAUGGUAUACGUGAAUCUAGACAGGCUUGAGCAAAUUAUUUGCAAAUACGGAUUGCUUUAGGCAAAAUUUGAAAUCCAUAUUUUAAGUAGAGUCAAGUUUGGGCAACUAUGUAUGGUAUUGAUGUCAUUAAGUGUAAACGAGCCUCAAGCUAUUAGUAACGAAGCUCAAGCUCGAUUUAAGAUUAAAAUCAAAUAGUUUGAACAAAAUUAAUUAUACUAAAUUAAAGUUUAUCGAUGUAAGAAAAAAAAUCUUAAUUUUCAUGUAACUUCAAACUCGAUUAUUGAUACUUGAUUUGAACUCGAGUAAUACUAAUUAAAAAAUAUUAGACUAGUGAGCAAUAUUUAAAUUCAAUUUACUCAAAUUCGAUUAAAAUCAAGUUAAGUUAAAUAGAAAAGUUUGCUAACUCAAUACUUAUUAGUUAUUAUCCCUAGAUAUGGGUGCACGCAAGAAAAAUACAUUAUUAAAAUUUGACAUAAUGACUUAUUUGGUCCUCUAAUAUUAUAAAGAAAAUAAUUUUAGCUAUUCAGUUAAUUUUUUGUUUUCUUAAAUUUUUAAACUUGUAUUUGUUUGUCAAAUCACCCCCAAAAUAAAUGAAAAUUUUAACUUUUACUAGCGUGGCAUACACAUGGAUUGACAAUUAAUUAAUUUUUUAAAAAUUUUAAAAAUUCAAAAAAUUAUUUUAAAAAUUAAAUAUUAUUAAAAUAAAAAAUAAAAAUUUUAUUGGAAAUAUUUUUAAUAUUUAAAAAAUUAAUUUCACACUAGACCUGUCCAUGGGCCGGGCGGCCCGGCCUGGCCCGACGGCCCACCCGAAAUAUGGGAGGGUUCGGGUAAAAAUAUAGGCCCGAAAUAUGGGUUUGGGCAAAAAACUAGGCCCGUUUAGAAAAUGGGCUGAGCCUCGAGCACCACUUUUUUGGCCCGGGCCCGGCCCAAAUUUAAUAAAUAUAUAUUUUUUAUUUUUAUAUUUUUAAGUUUAAAAUAUUUUAAAUUUUUUUUUAUUUUUUUAUUUUUAAAAUAAUUUUUCGGUAUUUAUUAAAAAAUGGGCCGGGUCCUGGUUUAGGAUUUUAUUCCCGGGCUGGGCCUGGACAAAAUUCCAGGCCCAUAUUUCGGGCCGGGCUGGGCCUAGGAGGCGGGCCAAAUUUUUUUAUGGGCCCGACCCGAACCCCUGGCCGGCCUGGCCCAUGGUCACCUCUAUUUCACACCAAAGAAUUUAAUAGAAUAGUUUCAAUGGUGGUAACAAUUGCACUUGAGUUUUUAAAUUCAAAAAUUAGAAGACGACAUUACUGAAAAUAAAAGUAGGGGACUAACUUUUAAAUAUACAAAGUGCAUAGGGAAUUAGAGCAUAUUUUAACUUUUAAAUUUUAAAUUUACAAUUUCACAUGAACAAAUAGUCAACCGAAUGCGAAGUGUGAGCCUAGAACCAUACUUGUAACACCCCAAACUUGACCUAGAUGUUACAGGCAAAUCCGGGGAUGUUAUCGUAAAUUGAUUGAAAAUUCUUAAUUUGUAUGUUUUGCAAAUCAUCGUAAACUCUAUUUACACAAAAACCCAGUUUAAUUGAAAGCAUAUCUUUCCUAACUAUUUUAUUGAAAACGUUGUGUGCUUACACUUUCCAAAAUUUAUAAGUUUGCAGCAGAAAUUUUUAGAACGUUGAAUUUUGGGAAAAUACAGUUUGUUGUUUAGAAAUCCAUUGUUUUUGUAGGAAAACGAUUGUUUUCAAUAAAAACAUUUAAAUAGUUUCGUGUGGAAAACGGAAAUAAAAUCUAAAACAAAAACAACCCAAAAUGUCUAGAUAGUCUAAAAUAUACAAAACAAUUAAACCCAAAUUAAAAUAAAUAAAGUGAACAAAAAUGUUAUUAUAUCCGAGCUCCUGUCGCAUCGACUUGCCUAAGUCUGAGGAUUACCUAAAAGUGACAGAUAACAGAAGGUGAGUUUUCAAAACUCGGUGUGCAACAUUUCAUAUAGAAAUCAGUCAGAUCUAUGUAUAAAAAUAUAUAUCAGAAACAAAACUUAUCAAAGCACAACAGAUACAAAUAAUCAUGUCCCCAUUUGCUACACACUAUCUCUGACCAUCUCAACACACUAUAUAGGUAUUAUAUAUUCAUCUAGGCCUACACACCGCUUAGUGUCGGUAUGACACUGAUCAAAAUAUUUGCAGCAGAGUUGCCAGUUUAUUAGGUGAUCUAUCACUGUCCAGAAACAUAUGUGGUUGAGCCACCAAAUACGACAGGUUAUUAAAUUGCCUACACUUCAUAUAACAAAUCCCAUCCCAGAUGCAAAUGCAAAACUAAUAGGUAUCAGAUAUGUUUACGAUGUACAUGCUUGUCAUGACAGAUACAAAGCAUAAAUAACAUUUGUCAUGAUUUUACCUAUCUUAUAUCAUUUCAAACAUGUGUAAUUAUAUCAAGUUUUAUGCUAACAAAUCAUAAAAAUCCAUGUUUUAUAGCUUAAUUAAUUAUAUACCGACCCUACGGAGGCUUACGUUCAAUCCAGACGAAGUUUACGGUCCUAGGAAAAAAUCUUAUUUGUCAUGCUCCUAUUGAAAAGAGACAAUGAUGACGCGGAAUCACAGUUUCAUACAAUUCUUUCUCUAUCCCUAACAUCCCAAUUCUUAUUCAACUAAGUUCUCUAACUGAAUUUAGAAAAAGAAAUAAAUAUCUCUCAAAGCUCACAAAGAGACUCCCACUCAAAACCUUAACCACUAAGACAAACACAUGAUAUAAUUUAACAAAUCAGGAAUUCAUAUUUUUAGGACGUUGCAACACUAAUACACCAAGCUUGAAAUGUGUGCCACCUUCAUUUAAGAUUAUAUAACAAUGGUAAAUUUUAAUUUUGGUAUAUGUGUUACACUUGAAUUUAAGAUCUAAUCUUAAUACUUCAACUUUUUCUUUAUAUAAUUUGAUAUCUUAACUUUUACAGUGUCAUUGAUUAACUCAAAUAUUUUAUUUAAUUAAAAUAUUUAUAUAAUUUUUAAGAGUUAUAAAUACUGUUAGAAAAUAUUUGUUAAAUUCAAGUCUAUUAUAAUAUUUUUUAUGUGACUACUAAAUUCGUAUAGUCCUAUGCGAUCAAGUUUAAAUGACCGCGCAGUUUAAAAGUUAACCAAAUCCAAUUGAUGGAAAUUAAAUGGCUCUAUUUUUAUUUAUGAUAAAAUUCGAUAAACCCUCUAAUAUUUAAAAAAGAAAAAAAAAGGUUUUUUUUUCAAAAAAAAUUAUGAUGAUAUUCAAAAUGGAAGCAAACCCUUGAAAAGAACCAUCAACUUGGAGUACUCUUCAAUGAUAUUCUCUUCUACACCAUUCCUCGCUAACUGCGGGAGAAACAACCAAUUGACAGUUACCGCCACAAAUCCCAAAGUCAACACCCUGGAAACCGCCGGGUGCAACCUCAUUUUCUCAGGCACCACCUUCUUCACCACCACUGCCGCCGGCAUCGCUAUCCCAUGUAAGAUGAAAAACCAUGUCACCUCCCAAGUAGGAGCCACACGAGUCAAGCAAUAAUAAAUCAAUUCAUGCAUCAAGCCGGAGACGACGAACACGGCGAUGAUGAGAGGGAGCCUAUUUUAAUAUGGGUGGGGUUCUAAUAGUUAAAGUUUAUAAUAUGUUAAUUACGUAGAUUAUGUAAUUUAUACAGUAUGAAAAUUAAAUAAAUUAUACCAUAAUGUAAGCAUUAAAAAUAUGUUAAGUUGUUUAUGUUUAGAAAUUUAAUAAAAAAAUAAAAGAAAUAUAUACAUUUCAAAAAUAUAAAAUGAAAUAGGUUAGCCUAAACAGGCUUGAGCAAGUUAUUUACAAAUAUGAGUUGCUUUAGGUAAAAUUUGAGGUCUAUAUUUCUAAGUAAAGUCCAGCUUCGGCAACUAUGUAUGGUAUAAUUGGUGUCAUUAGGUGUAAAUGGAGCUCAAGCUCGAUUUAUGAUAAAAAAUUAAAUAGUUUGAGCAAACUUGAUUAUACUAUAUUAAAGUUCAUUGAUGUAACGAAAAAAAUUCUUGGUUUUCAUGUAACUUCUAACUCGAUAAUUUAUACUUAGAUUUGAGCUCGAGUAAUACUAAUUAAAAAAAUUUUCCCUCAAUUUCGAUUAAAAUCAAGUUAACUUAAAAUUUUAAAAAUUACUCAAUUUACACGAUUUUUAAUAUAAUUUGAUUUUUAUAUUUUUAUAAUACAACGAGCAAAGAGGGGCAGCUGUACAAGCCCAAAUUUGCCCAGGGCCCAUUAACCUAAAAUACCCCAGCCUAACAAGCUAAAAUUAAACCCAAAAACAACAGACCCAAAAUGACCCAAUAAUGAAAACCCUAACAGCCCAAAAUGGCCCAAACCUAAACUAUUUUCAGCAAAAAAAAAGAAAGAAAAAACCCUAGGCGCCGUACCUAGGGCCUUCAGGUCUCCUCUGCCGCACGUCCCAUCGGCCACCCCCACCUGCAUCUGACCCGCGCCGCACGUCUCCGUCAAUGCCUGCAAACACGAAAAGAAACAGAGACAAAAAAUAGAAGAAGCAAUAUAAACAAUAGGUCUUUUGAUUUUUCUUUACUUUUCUCUUUGGCUAUAUAAAAGCCAAGCACAGAUCUGUAAAAGGGGGGGCUAAAUCACUGUAAUGGGGGGAUUUUUCUUUUUUUCUUUUCCUUCGGCUAAGGCCGAAUACACUGUAAAAGGUUUUUUUUUACGAGAUUUAAGAAAAAAAACAAGUUUUUGAAGGUUUUUUCCCUUAGAUUCGCGUCUUUUAUUUUUAUUUAUUUAUUUUAGAUACUAAUAAUAUAAAAUAAAAGAGGAAAAGAGGAGAAGAGACCUUACCUGCGCCGUGCCGGAGGGAGGGGAGACGGGCGGUCUCUCUUCGCUUUUCUCGAGUACGGGCUCAUUUCUCGCGGGAUUCGGCCUCGAAUCCGUGUCCUAGAGGCGACAGGCUCCAAAAGGGACCAAAAAGGUUCGAUUUUGUGCCUCCGACCACCGUGUGCGGUGGCCGACGGACGGCGGCUUGAUGACCGGGGACGGCCGGACCAUGGCCAGAUUUGGGGAUUUGAGAGGAGUUGGUGGAGCAGGUGAGGCCGUGCGUCGGCGGUCAGAGGACGGCGGCGGUAGUUAGGACCGAUUAGGUUUUUCUUUCUUUCUCUAUUUUUUGUUUAUUUUGGGCUGGUAGAAAUGGGUUUGGGUUAAUUGGGCCAGGUCUAGGCUUGUCUAGUUUGUAAUUGGUUUUGAGUUUAGGUUUAGGUGGGUUUGGGCCCGGGCAAAAUGGGCUUGUACAUUCGAUAUUUAGGAUCUUCGAGAGAAUCAAGCCCUAACAUAUUGGGUUCCGAUUUCCUUCGUUGAAUCUAAAUAAUCGAAGCUAUAUUUUUAUAAAACAUCACUAAAAGCUCGUUAUUGGGAAUUCACUAUGUCGUGUCCUAAUGCAUUGGAUAUGAUAAGUUAUUUUCUCAAGACGAGGAUUUUUCUUAUAAAUGCAAUAUUCAAUGUUUAAUAUUUUGAGAAAUUAUACCCUAACGUAUUGGGUUGCAAUUCUUUCACAUGACUUAAAUAAUUGGAUAUCGUUUUAAAUUUUACUUCGUAAGUUUUUUAGACAAGCUCAUUUCGGAAGAGGUAAAAUAUUGUGCCCUAACUCAUUAGAUGUGACAUUUUCUCUUUCUGAAAUAAGAGAGUCUUAACGAGUAACUUGAUUAAUAUAAGUUUUAAAAUAAAGGAUCGUAUUUUAAAUCUCUUCAAAGUUUUCAAUUUUCGACACUAAGACAUUAAGUAAUCAACUAGGUACCAAUUUUGGGCGUAUUAAGGGUGCUAAUCCUUUUAUAUUUACAUAAACUUUUAUAUUUAAUAAUUUUAAAAUACAUAUAUGCAUAUUUUUCCAUAUUUUCAUAAUUAUAUAUAUACAUGUUUAUAUUUACAUAACCUCUUAUAUUUAAUAUCCUUAAAACAUAUAUAUAUACAUAUAUAUUUCAUACUUUUAUUAUUUUAUGUAUAUACAUACAUAUAGUCCUCUUUAUGUACAUACACAUGUCCACAUUUUAUAAUUUUCAUCUAUUUUCCUUUUUUUUAAUGUUCAUUAAUUUAUGUAUUUAUUUAUAUGUCUAUUUUUAUGCUUUAGUUUAUUUAUUUGUUAUGGUAUAUACAUGAUUUUUAUUUAUUUAUUCGAUUUUGCUCAUAUUAUUUUUGUUCACAUUAUCAUAUUUAUUAUUCCAUUAUGCAUAUUAUAACACCAUACUUCAAAAAGGAAAAAUUUUCUAAAUGAGGCAAUAUUUAGCGUUUGGAAAUUCGAGGAAACGUGCUCUAAUGUGCUGGGUUUCGAUUUUUUCUCGUUCAACCAAAUAGCUAAAUAUCCUUUUCAAAAUUUCAAAAUAAGGCAAUUUUUGCGUUUGGAAAUUCGAGAAAAUGUGCCCUAAUGUGUUGGGUUUCGAUUUUUCUCGUUCAACCAAAUAGCCAAAUAUCUUUCCAAAAAUUUCAAAUAAGGAAAUGUUUUGCUUUUGGAAAUUUGAGGAACGUGCCCUAAUGUGCUGGGUUUCGAUUUCUCGUUUAACCAAAUAGCCAAAUAUCCUCUUGAAUUUCAAUCCAUGUCAUCCGAGUUUUUUUAGGAUCGUAAUUUAAAUCUCUCUAAAGUUUUCAAUUUUUCGACACUCAGAUAUUAAGUAAUCAACUAGGUACCAAUUUUAGGCGCAUUGGGGGUGCUAAUCCUUCCUCGUUGUAACCAACUCCCGAACCCGUUUUUCUAAAUUUCGUGGACCAAAAUUGUUGUUUUAAUAAAAUUAAAUCGUUUAUUAAAAACAACCACUUUUCAAGGUGAUCCAAUCACACCUUAUCAAAAAAAAGGAUUGGUGGCGACUCCCGUUUUUAUUUUCAUUUUUUAAAACCCAAGUCGACCCUGUUUUCAUCAAAAAAAUGGUGUCAACAGCUUGGCGACUCCACUGGGGACCCAAAAUAAGAGAGUCAAGCUACAAGUUGAUUACUUUUUGUCUUUUUUGUCGAAAAUUAAAAAUUUAGUUUAAAUUUACGAUCCUUUCAUUGCAUUUCAUUCGUCUUUAUUAUAAUUUCCAUUAUUGUGGUUUAUGAUUGCUGUGUUAGCUUAAAUUUUGGCAUCUUUCUGCACAUUAUAGUGCAUGACCUUUGGUCACACCCUUUUAAGUGGGAGUGAGAAGCUACUCCUUCGUGAGGUUUUCACCUCCAUGCAGGAUAGUGGAUCGCUUUCGGGAUACAUCCGUACCUAUGUCUUCGUGAGAUUUUCAUCUCCGUGCAGCCAUAGGGAAAUGUAUUCCCCUGAAUCGAACUCGGUCUAUAUGAGCCUAUAAUGGGUGAAGAUCGAGGAAUCUGCUGGUUCGGGUACCCUUACUUUAGAGCCAAACCUCAUGUAGUGAACCUUAGAAGCCCACCCUAGGUAGAACCACUUCGAACCCUUAGUAUUCACCCAAAUAGGUGUUCUAUUUAUUCUUGCUUGCUCUUGCUUUGUACUAACCUGUUUUUUUUUUUUGUUAUGAUUGUAUUGCAUUUUCAUCAUAAAAAGGUGUUGAUUCACGUUCGGUUGUUAAAUAGAGAGCUUGCAAUAAGGAAAUGGGUUACUUGAUAAAGUGGAUAAUAAUACUGUUGUCUGAAUAUAUUCCGAGAAAACACAAUAAGAGAAGGGUGAUAGUUUAAUGGAGGGCUACACGACCAUUGCUCCGUAGCCCGAGAAUUCAAGAUGAUAAAGAUUAUUCGAGAGCCGCUGAACUUUCUUAAAGAGAAGCCAACGAGCGUCACGAGGGUAAGUGAUUAACGAGUCGCGGCCCAGAUCAAGCAAAAAAGAGAUAGAAGAGACGUCCCUUUUGAAGAGUUCGUGAGAUUUAUCUUACGCGCGAAUGAAGAAAAUGAUCGUUGUCUUAGAAUAUACGGGCAAGGCUGUAUAUAUAUCCGUUUUAUGUAAAGAGACUUGUUUUCUAGUAAAGUUGUUCUAAUAAGAAUUGAACCAAGAAUCAACGUCUUUUUUUGCAUUCAUUUCACGCAUUUGCAUUAUAUAACAUCAUGUGCAUUAAGGACUAUUAAAAGACUCUAAUUGAAUAAAAUUAUUUCAGUUAACUUGAAAAGCUGACACAUUUACGGAACUCGAGCGAAAUCAAAGAACAUGGAUCAAAGAUUAGAAAAGCUUGAACAACUCUAAAAAGAUAUGCAAGAUCAGAUACAAGAGCGGAUGGAAAGAAUUCAGCAAGAUAUGACAAAAAAGAUGCGGGAGUCCCAGAACGACAUGAUGGCACAGUUAACGCAGUUGUUGAGAUGAGGAAAUGACAAGGGAAAAGACCCUGUAAUUAAUGUUGAAGAAGGAAAUAAUGAUGACCCCUUUACCGUCCAGGCUUCACCCCUCCGCACGCGCAUACUGAAGCUAAGCUGAACCCACAUAAAUCCUCCCUUACAAUCAGACCCCAGUAAUUUCAGACAGGUCCUUCAAUGCCAAUGAACUUUCAAAUAGAAGUAGGUCCUAAUCCUGAAGAGAAUCCUACUAAUCCCAUGGUUCCUGAUCUCGAUGACGUAGUAGAAAUGGAGAAAGCAAAAGUGGAUCUGCCAAAACAAUUAGAAGACCGGUGUAAAUGGCUAGAGGAGAAGUUUAAAGUAAUGGAAAAUACUGAUUACCAUCGAGGAAUGGACGCUAAAGAUUUGUGCUUGGUACCUGAUUUGGUCCUCCCUCCUAAAUUUAAAAUGCUAGAGUUUGAGAAGUAUAACGUGACAAGUUGUCCCGAAGCUCAUAUCACUAUGUUCUGUCGAAGAAUGACCGGAUACAUCAACAAUGAUCAACUACUGAUUCACUCCUUCCAGGAUAGUUUGAUCGGGUCAGCGGCUAGAUGGUACAAUCAAUUGAGUCGGACCAACAUCCACUCAUGGAAGGAUUUGGCAUAGGCCUUUAUAAAACAGUAUGGACAUGUGAUGGAUAUAGCACCUGAUCGAAUUGUAUUGCAAAACAUGGAAAAGAAGCCUAAUGAGAGCUUCCGACAGUAUGCUCAGAGAUGGAGGGAGGUGGUAGCGCAAGUUCAACCACCACUUUUAGAGAAAGAGAUAACCAUGCUUUUUAUCAAUACUUUGAAAGCUCCAUUUCUGAGUCACAUGUUGGGCAGUGCCACUAUGAGCUUUUCAGACAUAGUGAUGUCCGGAGAAAUGAUAGAGAAUAUGUCUGGAGAAAUGAUAGAGAAUGCCAUAAGAUGCGGCAAGAUAGAAGUGGGAAAAAGCGCCCAGAGGUCAGCUCCAAGGAAGAAAGAGCACGAGAUAAAUAAUGCAAGCGUGUUUAACAAGGGCUAUUCUAAACCAAUCACGGUGGGACAAGCAAGAGCAGUAACCACUAAUCAUCAAGGUUCUUCAAGGCAGGAAACCAAUCCUAGGCCAAAUAAAGAAAGAACCCAAUUUACACCCAUCCCGAUGACAUAUAGAGAGUUGUAUCAGAGGCUAUUUGAUGCACAUGUGGUAUCUCUAUUUUACUCAGAGCCCGUACAACCUCUGUACUCCAAAUGGUACGGUGAAAAUGCCCAAUGUGACUACCAUGUAGGAAUUACGGGGCACUCAAUAGAAAAUUGCAUCACCUUCAAAAAGCUAGUUGAAAAACUCAUCAACAUAGGUAUUGUCAAGUUAGGUGACUCAUCUACUGCAGAAAAUCCGCUACCCAAUCAUGAUUGACAAUAAGGUGAAUGCGAUGUAGGAAGAAAUGUUGAGAAGUUUUCACAUUAGUGUCGUGCAUGAAGACAACUAAAAAGAGGUCUUGUUAGAUAUCCACCCUUAUAAACCUAGGAGUGUUCUAAGCAAUUGAACUGCGGAAGUAACCCCUGUAGUAUUUAGGGCUUGUUUAGAAUAAUAUUCAGAACAACCUUGUUGCUUUUAGCCUAGAGGCAAUAAGAACUCUUUUGUGAAAUAGGCUCAUGUCUGAACGUCGUUAUUUUAAUGGAAUUGCAUCUUUGUGAUCUUUUUGAACCAAUAUUCUUUCAUUUCUUACGAACAACUAUGAUUAUUCUUUUAUUCUUUCUUCUAAAUCAUUAUUUCAUUCAUAAUCAUAUUGUACAUAACUUCAUAUAUUCUUUGUAUAUUCUUUUGUACCUACAAUAGGUCUCUGAAUAUCAAAGACAUGAGUAACGCUGUUACAGACUCAGAAUCUCAUUUUGAGCGAGACAUGUGUUUAGAAGAAUCUCACGACUUUGAAGAUGACAUAGAUUGUAGCCUAUCUCAAGACUUAUUGAGGAUGGUAGAACAAGAUGAAAAACAGAUCCUACCUUAUAAAGAAUCAUUAGAAUCCACAACUUCUCCCUAUGUGGGGUAUGAAUGUCAUUGAGCCGAUCUUACCAAAAAUUUCUGGAGGUCAACAAUUCAUCUUUGCAGCCGUCGAUUACUUCACUAAGUAGGUUGAAGCUGCUUCAUAUGCCAGUGUCACGAAGUCGAUAGUCAGCAAAUCUUUAAAAAUCAUAUGGAAUGUCAAAAAUGAUCAUAUUUGACAAUGCACUAAAUUUGAACAAGGGCACGAUAUCAGAAGUUGAUAGUCUGUUUGAGAUUAACAUCAUGUCGUCUCUAAGUGAAUAGUAUAUUAGAGGUAAAAAAAACUCUGUCGGGGCAAUGUCGUUCUCUUGGGCCUACCACGAUUUUGCCUAUUAAAGACGAGAUUCUUUCUCUCUAAGUUUUUAGACCCAAUCCUGAUCGAUGAGGAAUGUUCAAAGUAACCCAUCAUGGUCAAAUGUGCCAAAAGUAAAUGAUGCGAGCUCACAAAAAGUUCGCCCAAGAAAAUCCCAUGAGAGGGACUUGGUAUCGAAGAAGAUCCUUCCCACACAAAAAGAACUUCAUGCCAAGCUGAAAAAAAACCUUAAAUAGAAUGCCUUAUCUGGAAAAGCGUCAGUCAUGAUCAGAGGGGAUAACAAGGACAUGCCUAAUUCUAAGAGUUAAGAUUCAAAAAGAAAAAGAAAAAAGAAAAAAAGAAGAGAAAAGAAAAAGAAAAAAGGAGAGGCCAAGGUAAAAACCCGCAAAGGGCGCCUUGAGACCAAAGAGGACUUGAGUUGAAAACCCGAAAAGGACGACUCAAAUUUUGGAUCAAAUUGGGGCAUGAGGCGAUCAGAGCAACUCAAAUUUUGAUCAGAUCGGGGCAUAUGGUGAUUUGUUAUACCUAAAUCAAUAGGAAAGGGUAGGCGACAUCUUGGGGCAUCAACAAAGUCCUAUAGAUCUCCUAAACACAUGUCAAACUCAGAAUGAUCUUUCAAAGAGUUUGUACAGAGAAGUUCAAGCUGCGAUAUCUGGGGCGUCUAGUCCUCAUACUAUUUAUAUUGAAUUUUUUAUUCUUGGAAUACUUCUUUUUUUUUCAAGAUACAUGUUCCAAUCAAUUCCUUUUUUUAUUCUUGUUAUCCUUGAUAAUUUAUUCAUUUCGAGCUAUGCUCUCAAAUCAAUUCUAUUUUAUCUAUCGUUAUGAUCUGUUGCAAGCAUAUUGCAUUAGAGUAAUGAUUAAUGGACUAAUAAUACUUUCACAAUGGAAGUUUUGCAUAUUACUCUAGAAGUUUCUAAAUAAUAUAGAAACCUGAAAUAGGACUAUUGUUUAGAAAACACCAAGUUUAAAGGGUGAAAUAUCUAAGAAGGAAGAAUCUAAGUUAAAGACUAUCCUUUCGGAUUUUUUUGUCCAAACAUUAAUGGAACAAAAUGACAAGAGACCAGAGCUUCAAUGAACAAACAAGUGAUGUUUACCAAGCAAUACGAAAAGGUCUUCUGGGAGAAAAAAAUUCUUCAUUGUGCAUAAACUUUUGGUAUGACACCCUUGGAAUGGUGUAGGAGACGAAGGAGUUUCAGAUCCUGUAUCCCCGAUUUGCAGUGGGAGAGAUUUGAGAAUGAGCUAGAUCUUAUACUCCUAAAUUACAGUAGGAGGAGGAUGGUUUUGAAUUUUAUGUCCCAAAUUACGGUAGGCUUAACUUUGAAAAUCGCAAUGAAUUGAACUCUGAAGAUUACAGCGGGGGCAAUCUGAUCAAGUAAGAGAUGAACAUUAUCAACCGGACAAGAUAGCAUUCUGACGCGUUGGCAAUAAAGCCUUAUUGAGCAAUGGGCCAUAACAACUCAAAUAUGGAAAGAUCAUUUUCAUUUUGCAUUCAUGCAUACACUUUUAGUCAGGAUAUUUUGAUUCAUUUCGAUCAUAAUCACUAGGCAUAAAUAAGUUCAUAUAGGUUAUGUUCCCCAAAGAACAGAUCAACGAAGAUGGCAGGUCUUGCUUUCCUGAGUUGACAGCGAAACAGAUCGAAGAAACCAUAGAUUGCAAUUUAAAAGAUUAAAGCCACAAUGACGAAUCUUACUUCUCAGGCGAUGCAACGGAAUAGAUUGAAGCAACGACGGUGAAUCUCGCUUCCCUGACAUUGUAAUUUAAAAGAUUGAAGCCACAACGGUGAAUCUUACUUCUCAGGCGAUGCAGCGAAACAGAUUGAAGCUACGACGGCGAAUCUCGUUUCCCCAACAUUGCAAUUUAAAAGAUUGAAGCCACAACGGUGAAUCUUACUUCCAGACGAUGUAAUGGAACAGAUUUAGCUACAACGACGAAUCUUGCUUCCCCGACAUUGUAAUUUAAAAGAUUGAAGUCACAACGGCGAAUCUUACUUCCAGGCAAUGCAGCGGAACAAAUUGAAGCUACAACGGCGAAUUUUGCUUCCCCGACAUUGCAAUUUAAAAGAUUGAAGCUAUAACUGCGAAUCUUACUUUCAGGCGAUGCAGCGGAACAGAUUGAAGCUACAACGGCGAAUCUUGCUUCCCCAACAUUGCAAUUUAAAAGAUUGAAGCCACAACGGCGAAUCUUACUUCCAGGCGAUGCAGUGGAAUAGAUUGAAGCUACGAUGGCGAAUUUUCCUUCCCUGACACUGCAAUUUAAAAGAUUGAAGUCACAACGGCGAAUCUUACUUCCAGGCGAUGCAGCAGAACAGAUUGAAGCUACAAUGGCGAAUUUUCCUUCCCCGACAUUGCAAUUUAAAAGAUUGAAGUCACAACGGCGAAUCUUACUUCCAGACGAUGCAGCAGAACAGAUUGAAGCUACAAUGGCGAAUUUUGCUUCCCCGACAUUACAAUUUAAAAGAUUGAAGCCACAACGGUGAAUCUUACUUUCCCAAGCGGUGAAGUGGAACAAAUUGAAGCUAUGACGGCAAAUCUUCCUUCCUCGACAUUGCAAUUAAAAAGAUUGAAGCCACAACGGUGAAUCUUACUUUCCAGGCGAUGCAGCGAAACAAAUUGAAGCUACAACGGCGAAUCUUGCUUCCCCGAUAUUGCAAUUUAAAAGAUUGAGGCCACAACGGCGAAUCUACUUCCAGGCGAUGCAGCAGAAUAGAUUAAAGCUACGACGGCGAAUCUUGCUUCCCCGACAUUGCAAUUUAAAAUAUUGAAGCCACAACGGCGAACCUUACUUUCCCAAGCGGUGCAGUGGAACAGAUUGAAGCUACGACGGCGAAUCUUACUUCCCCGACAUUGCGGUUAAAUAGAUUGAAGCUACAACAGCGAAUCUUACUUCCCUGGCGGUGAAAUGAAAUAGAUUGAAGCUACUCUAAUUUCUCCAACAUCGCAGUUAAACAGAUUGGAGAUGACAGACCUUAUCUCUCUAAAGUUGCAGUAGAGCAGAUCGCAUCCAGUCCUAUCUCCCUAAACAGUCCAAUCUCCCUGGUUGGCAGUGGAAUAGAUUGAAGAUUUCAGAUCUUGCCUCCCUAAGUAGUAGUGGAGCAGAUCGAGUAAUGGCAAAUUUUACCUCCCUGUGAUUACAAUGGAGUACAUUGAAGUCAGUAAUUCUAUCUCCCUGGUUAGCAGUGGAAUAGAUUGAAGAUUGUAGAUUCUAUAUCCCUAAGCAGUAGUGGAGCAGAUCAAAGAUGGUGAAUCUUAUCUUCCUAAGGUAGUAGGGAAGUAAAUUUAAACCACAAACCUCGCCCCCUGAAGUUACAACAGAGUGGAUUGAAGCUACAAGUCGUAUCAUUCUGAAGUGUAAUGGAGUGGAUCGACGCGACAAGACACAGUGGAUCAAAAUAAAGCUACUUAAAGAGAAACGACAAGAGAAGUCAAGACUCGGCGAGGCUGGGCAAAAUUGGUCUUUCUAUGUCUUUGCUUUGUUCUCGUUACACAACAACGAGCAAAGAGGGGCAGCUGUAAAGCCCAAUAUUUGCCCAGCCCAAAUUAACCGACCUAGACUAAACCCAAAGUCGAAUGGCCCACUUACAACACCCAAAGCCCAAACAGAACCAAGCCCAAUUAACCCUCAACCCAAACCUGAAGCCCAACUGAUAUAACCCUAGCCCAAAAGAAAAUACAUCAGAAACAAAUCAAACCCUAAGUGCGCCGCACCUAAGGUCUCUAGUUCUGCCACCGCCGCCUGCAGCCACCUGCCCACUUGCCACCACCACGGUCACGUUGCUGAAUUGCCACUUGCGCCUGCAAGAUCAGAAAGAAGCGACAGAAAGCAAAAAAUGGGAAUAAAAAAUAUGUAAAAAAAUGGCUAUAUAAAAGCCAUUCAAAAUUGUAAAAAAGGGGAGGGGGAGAGAACCGAUCUGGAGGUUUUGUAAAAAAGGAGUCUCUUCCUCGUUUUUUUUACAAGCAUUACUUAGAAAUAAAAAGAACAAAAAGAAACAGAUUUAAAACAAAACAUUCAAUGUGACUUUUCAUUUUUUUUCCUUUUCUAUACGUACUUAGUUAUUUUAUUUUAUUUUAUUUUAUUCUCUCCUAACAACAAUAUAUAUUAGUACAAGAGUAUUUAAAUAAAAAAUAAAAUUUUACCUUUUUUGGCGGUCCUGUUUGUCGUUUUCUGGGCUCUGGCUGGAGGAGGGGAGAGAGUUUCUGGUUUUUUUUUUGGAAGAAACGAAAAAAUGAAAAUUUUGAAAGAAAAUUAGCUUAAAUAGCUGAACAAAACGACGCCGUUUUGAUGGGGUCAGGAAAGCCCCAAAACGACGUCGUUUUGGGCUCCUGACCCGAGACCCGACCCGCCUACCCCAGGGGAUCCGCGUGUUUUGACGGAAGGGCUAAUUGCACGUUUAGCCCUUCCGCUUUUUAAUGUUUUUUUUUAAAUUAGGUUCUUUUAAUUUCUUUAAAUUUUACCCAAAAAUUUAUUGUGUUUUCAAUUUAGUCCCUACUGGAACUCUGCGUUUUGCAAGAAUGGGAUUAUCUUCCUUUUGCCCCUCCUAGUUUUUCAGCGCGUUUGAUGUGGCCCUUCCUCUUUUAUUUAUUUCAUAUUUGACCCCAAAUUUUGUUUUAAAAUUUUAAUUUGGUCCUUUUUCGUUAUUUUGGUUAUUUUAUUAAUAAAUCUAUUAUGGUUAUUAUUAUUAUUAUUUAUUUCCUCAUUUACAUAUAUACAUAUUUGCAAUUUCCAAUUUUGCUAUAUAUAUAUGUGCAUGCGUGCAUUUUUAUAUUAUACAUACAUAUUUCUAUAAUUUAUUUUUUUAUAUAUAUAAACAUGCUUAUAUAUAUAUUUUAUAUUUUAUAAUUUUUAUAUACAUUUUGUAUACAUAUACGUGCAUAUACAUAUUUACAUAAACUUUUAUAUUUAAUAAUUUUAAAAUACAUAUAUGCAUAUUUUUCCAUAUUUUCAUAAUUAUAUAUAUACAUGUAUAUAUUUACAUAACCUCUUAUAUUUAAUAUCCUUAAAACAUAUAUAUAUAUACAUAUAUAUAUUUUUUCAUAUUUUUAUUAUUUUAUGUAUAUACAUACUUAUAGUCCCCUUUAUGUACAUACACAUGUCCACAUUUUAUAAUUUUCAUCUAUUUUCCUUUUUUUUUUAUGUUCAUUUAUGUAUUUAUUUAUAUGUCCAUUUUUAUGCUUUAGUUUAUUUAUUUGUUAUGGUAUAUACAUGAUUUUUAUUUAUUUAUUAGUUUUUGCUCAUAUUAUUUUUGUUCACAUUAUCAUAUUUAUUAUUCCAUUAUAAAUAUUAACACCAUACUUCAAAAAGGAAAAAUUUUCUAAAUGAGGCAAUAUUUAGCGUUUGGAAAUUCGAGGAAACGUGCCCUAAUGUGUCGGGUUUCGAUUUUUUCUCGUUCAACCAAAUAGCUAAAUAUCCUUUUAAAAUUUUCAAAAUAAGGCAAUGUUUUGCGUUUGAAAAUUUCGAGAAAACAUGCCCUAAUGUGCUGGGUUUCAAUUUUUCUCGUUCAACCAAAUAGCCAAAUAUCCUUCCAAAAAUUUCAAAUAAGGCAAUGUUUUGCGUUUGGAAAUUUGAGGAACGUGCCCUAAUGUGCUGGGUUUCGAUUUCUCGUUUAACCAAAUUGCCAAAUAUCCUCUUGAAUUUCAAUCCAUGUCAUCCGAGUUUUUUUAGGAUCGUAUUUUAAAUCUCUCUAAAGCUUUUAGUUUUUCGACACUAAGACAUUAAGUAAUCAACUAGGUACCAAUUUUGGGCGUAUCGGGGGUGCUAAUCCUUCCUCUUGCGUAACCGACUCCCGAACCUAUUUUUCUGAAUUUCGUGGACCAAAAUCGUUAUUUUAAUAAAAUUAAAUCGUUUAUUAAAAACAACCACUUUUCAAGGUGAUCCAAUCACACCUUAUCAAAAAAAAGGAUUGGUGGCGACUCCCGUUUUUAUUUUCAUUUUUCAAAACCAAGUCGACCCCGUUUUCAUCAAAAAAAUGGUGUCAACAGUAUCAAUGUAAGUUCUAUGGUUGAAAUUCUGUGAAUGUUACUCUCACUUGUAACACCCCUAAAUUAAUUUGAACAUUUGUUCGAUAAAUUUUGUCAAUAAUUAAGUUUUCAUAUUUGUGGUUUAGUGCUCUGUUUAUGUGUUUGAGAUCGGGGGUUUGAGUAUUUCUUUUUGAAAUUUCUCUGUUUAUUUUAACUUAACCCUUACCUUUGAACUCUCGACUUAUAUUUAUUUCUACGCUAAUUUAUGUAAAAAAUGAGCUUGUUAUUUUGAUGGUUAGGCCUCUAUAAACUUCCUAGUCUUGUGUUUGAAUCUUUUUGCAUGCGUUAAUGAAAUAUUUUUAUGCUACUUGUAAAAGCUUGUUAGCUUUUUUUUAGUUUAGUUUGUAUUGUUUAGAAGUUCUGUUUUUAUUUUCUCUUUCUUUUUAUUCACUUCACUUCACGUUUUCCUUUUCUUCUUUCUUUCUUUUAUUUUUGUCCUCUUUUUUGUUUCUACUUGCUUUCAUUGACUGCUAUCGGGUUUAAUUGGAAAUUUUAAGUUUUUCGUUGCGUCAAUUGAAAGGUUAUUGUGUAAGUUCUGUUGUUAUUCUCUUUUGUCUCGCGAAAUUUCGUUGUUUGCUUUGAAGUUAAAAAUGACUGUUGUUUGUUUGAAUCUAUGUUAAUUGUGUGAUUGGGGAUUCUUUUAGGCGAAGGACUUGUGGGAGCGGUUACUCCAACGCACUGAUUUCAUAACUCGUUGUUACAUACGAGGUAACGGGUGUCUUUCGAGUUGGGGUUCUAUGUCAAAUUUUUCGACAUAAGUUUGGGUGGUGCGCUAAUCUUAGUGUUGCAUUGCGAAUAAUUGCUUAAUUGCCUUUUGGAUUACUGUUUUUAGGUUUUGAACUUCUUCUGGGUGCUUCUACAUAGAAACCGUACCAGGUGUGUACCGAAAAUCUGAUUUUCUGCGAUUUUUGAAUGCCAGAAAACAUGGCUGUCGACGUCACAUGGCCGUGUGGCUGACUGUGUAACUUACUAUUAAUGAGUUAGAGGCACACGGGCGUGUGUAAAGCCCUAAAAAUAAGUCUAGUAAUUUCAAGUAAGUUUACCGGGUUUCGAGUGAAAAUUAAGAGUUAAUCGGGUUUAUUAGUAAAUUUUUAGUUAGCUAAUUUCAUUUAAAAAUCGAGAAAUAAUAUUUUGGAAAAUUAAAAUAUUUUUAGAAAAACUAAUUUUAUAAUUUUAAAUAAUUUUUGGGUAAAAUAAAUGUUUUGGGUCAAAUUAGAAUUGAAAAAUAAAUUAAAAUAGGGGUUUAAUUUAGAGAAUUUAAAAUAUUAAUUACAUAGGACCGUUUUGCAAAAUAAGGGAAAUAUUUGAGUGGUUCUAUGGCAAAUUACCCAUAUUUUUAGAAUUUUGGAGGGAAAUGAUUAUUUAGUAAAACAAAGGAAUUGUGACAGUGCCUCAUGGGAAUUUCUCCAAUUUUUGGAAAUUAGGUGGGGGUUCUUCAGUUCAAAAACGCUGCAGCCUCCUCACUUCACACACAAUUCUCACCCAAUUUCUAAGUAUUUCUCUCGUUUUCCUUUUUCAUUUUUGAAGUGCACAUAUCAAAUAUUAGAUCUCAUCUUUUAUUCUCUCAAAAUUCUCCGGAAAAGAUUUCCAAAGUCGAGAAAAAAAACUCAUCUGAGUUCUUCAAAGGUCUUGAUCCAAUGUUCAAUAUUAGUGAUUCCAGAUCGAUUGAAGGUAUUUCUCAACCCUAAAUUUAUUCUAAGGUUGACAGCAAGGCGAGUUCAAGGACUUUGCUCGCAGAGUGAGCUCACAGACUCAGCUCGCAAGGCAAAGCCAAGGACCCAACUCAUAACGUAAGGCCACAGAUCCAACUCGUAGGGACCUAGGGAAUUAAGGCCACUGUCUCAGCUCGCAUACACCUAGGGAGUUAGCAAAAAGGGCCACGUGCUCCGUAGGCUACCCAGACACGUGUCUAGCAGGUACGGAGCCCGCCUAAAAUGUUAGUCCUAAGAACAGAAAAAAUCGCGUGCUCUAUAAACACGUGCCUAGCAAACCUAGAGUUCGCAGAGAAUGUCAUUACUAGAAGCAGAGGAGUCUAGACAAAAUAGUGAGGCCCUAUCAUAAACUGUAAUAGCAUCUGUAAUAAUAUAUAUAAAUACUCAACCGCUCCUAUUAAUAACACACAAACAAAUAUUACUCCAUAAAUCAAAAUUUUAUUUCAAUUGAAAAUUUUUUAUUUGCAGUACGAAAUCAAUUCUCAAUUAAAUCCAAACGAAGAUAUUUAAAAAAAAUGACUUUUUAAAAUUAAAAUAUAUUCAAAAUGGAAGCAAACCCUUUAAAAGAUCCAUCAACUUGCAGUACUCUCCUAUGGUCUUCUCAUCUACGCCAUUCCUCAACAACUGCGGGAAAAACAACCAAACGGCAGUCACCGCCACAAAUCCCAAAGCUGACGCCCCGGAAACCACCGGGUGCAACCUCAUUUUCUCAGGCACCACCUUCUUCACCACCACUUCCGCCGCCACCGCAACCCCGUGUAAGAUGAAAAACCAUGUCACCUCCCAAGUAGGAGCCACACGAGUCAAGUAAUAAUAAAUCAAUUCAUGCAUCAAGCCGGAGACGACGAACACGGCGAUGAUCGCCUGCAAAGGAGCCCACCUUGAUCCGACCAAACGAGUAGAAAUACGGCGUAUGGGGUAAUAUACGGUUGGUCGUAGAAUGCUAGUAACCAUAAGGUUCCAUCUACGACCCCAAAAAUCUUGUAAAGAGGUAGUUAAGUAGGGUUCAUUGAACUGUGGCUCGAUCUCGAGCCCAAACAUGGCUCGAGCCGGGAUUGCGGCCAAGGCUAGGGUGAGCUCAAGCUCAAUGUAGGUAUGGACACAGUACAUUGCUAGAACUACAUUUUUAUGGAGAUUUUGUUUGUAGCUAUAACAAUGGUACAGCAAAGCUAAUAUUAGAACUUUUAUAGCAAACAAGAUUGAUCUUUGGGGUGGUUUAGAUUUGUUUUGAGAUGGGGUUUUUUGUUUAGGUUUAAUGGGAAGAGACGCUAAGGAAAUGAAGUGAAAAAGGUUGGACGGUGGUGGUGAGAGCGGUGGUUGGUCGAAACAAAAGAGGAGGAGCUUGAAAUUAGCUAACCAAGA